GGUUAGGACAUUUUUGUGCAAUGGCGAUUGAUUCACAGAUACUACAGUGAAUUCACCUCCCGCCACAAUUUCUCAAGCUGGCCCUUCACGUCAUCAUCCUCUGCAAGUCAACACACAAGAUAAUAUUAGGUGGCCGUGCAGCGCUGGACUGGAGCAGAGAGAAGAAGCACAGGACGAAGAAGACGGGGAGGCCCAGACGUGCCAUGCUGGAGAGCAGUGCACACAGUGGUACACUUUGUACUGUCGUGAAAGGAGUCCAAAAGUCUUGAGGACGGCCCAAUAUAUACUAGCCUUCUGUACGCUGCCACUGCAUUGGUCCACAAAAUGUUUUUUUUUUUUCAUACGGAGAUAUUAGGGUGGAGUGACAAAUAAUGCCUUCCUUGUGUCUGGAUUUUUUGAGAAAUAUUGACUUGGGCCACGGUGCACUGAGCAGUGUGUCCUUUCAAAAACCACAAGUUCAUUGACUGUUAGAGUCCCCUCAGCAACAUGGAUGUGCCUAAAAUAUUACAGUAUACAUGUUUGUCAAAAAGUGUUCUCAUGCAGGUUAAAAUAUGUUUGCCUGUUGCUGUAUUUAUUGCACUUUUUGACUGGCAGUGUAUUUCAAAGGUUUCCAUUUAACAAUAUGUUUAUUAUUGUGUGUGUAGGUUGCAUUGGUUAAAAUGUACUGCUGACUUGUAUUCAUUCACAAUA